rnacentral:rRNA from 1 species
UGCCAGCCGCCGCGGUAAUACGAAGGGGGCUAGCGUUGUUCGGAAUUACUGGGCGUAAAGCGCACGUAGGCUGACUGGUCAGUUGGGGGUGAAAUCCCGGGGCUCAACCUCGGAACUGCCUUCAAUACUGCCAGUCUUGAGUCCGAGAGAGGUGAGUGGAAUUCCUAGUGUAGAGGUGAAAUUCGUAGAUAUUAGGAAGAACACCAGUGGCGAAGGCGGCUCACUGGCUUAAAACUGACGCUGAGGUGCGAAAGCUUGGGUAGCGAACGGGAUUAGAUA